rnacentral:tRNA from 1 species
GCUCCUGUAGCGUAGGGGAUGACGCAUCUGGUUUCUACCCAGAUAUACGCAGGUUCGAGUCCUGCCAGGAGUA